rfam:Myotis lucifugus cont2.3229, whole genome shotgun sequence.
CUGGUUACGUGAUGAAUGAAAUCAAAUCACCAUCUUUCGGCUGAACUUAAGCUCAUGAUGGAUUUGCUUUUUUUUCUGAUAAAGCUG